CAAGAUUAAAACUCAAAGGAAUAGACGGGGACCCGCACAAGCGGUGGAGCAUGUGGUUUAAUUCGAAGAUACACGAAGAACCUUACCUAGGCUUGACAUUGAUAGAAUCCGCUAGAGAUAGUGGAGUGCUAGCUUGCUAGAACUUGAAAACAGGUGCUGCACGGCUGUCGUCAGCUCGUGUCGUGAGAUGUUGGGUUAAGUCCCGCAACGAGCGCAACCCUCGUCCUUAGUUGCUAACUAUUCGGUAGAGCACUCUAAGGAGACUGCCUUCGCAAGGAGGAGGAAGGUGAGGAUGACGUCAAGUCAUCAUGGCCCUUACGCCUAGGGCUACACACGUGCUACAAUGGCGUAAACAAAGGGAAGCGAAGGCGUGAGCGUAAGCAAAACCCAAAAAUAACGUCCCAGUUCGGAUUGUAGUCUGCAACCCGACUACAUGAAGCUGGAAUCGCUAGUAAUCGCGGAUCAGAAUGCCGCGGUGAAUACGUUCCCGGGUCUUGUACACACCGCCCGUCACACCAUGGGAGUCGGAAAUGCC
rnacentral:rRNA from 1 species